UACGAAGGGGGCUAGCGUUGCUCGGAAUCACUGGGCGUAAAGGGUGCGUAGGCGGCUCAUACAGUCAGGCGUGAAAUUCCUGGGCUCAACCUGGGGACUGCGCUUGAGACGUGUGGGCUUGAGUGGGGAAGAGGGUCGUGGAAUUCCCAGUGUAGAGGUGAAAUUCGUAGAUAUUGGGAAGAACACCGGUGGCGAAGGCGGCGACCUGGUCCUUGACUGACGCUGAGGCGCGAAAGCGUGGGGAGCAAACAGG
rnacentral:rRNA from 1 species